rnacentral:rRNA from 1 species
CCUACGGGAGGCAGCAGUGAGGAAUAUUGGUCAAUGGGCGCGAGCCUGAACCAGCCAAGUAGCGUGAAGGAUGACUGCCCUACGGGUUGUAAACUUCUUUUAUAAAGGACUAAAGUGAGGCACGUGUGCCUUUUUGUUUGUACUUUAUGAGUAAGGAUCGCCUAACUCCGUGCUAGCAGCCGCGGUAAUACGGAGGGUCCGAGCGUUAUCCGGAUUUUUUGGGUUUAAAGGGAGCGUAGAUGGGUGGUUAAGUCAGUUGUGAAAGUUUGCGGCGCAACCGUAAAAUUGCAAUUGAUACUGGCAGUCUUGAGUACAGUGGAGGUAGGCGGAAUUCGUGGUGUAGCGGUGAAAUGCUUAGAUAUCACGAAGAACUCCGAUUGCGAAGGCAGCUUACUAAGCUGCCACUGACAUUGAUGCUCGAAAGUGUGGGUAUCAAACAGGAUUAGAUACCCCUGUAGUC